UUUUUUUUCCUACUGAAUUAUUCAUAAUGUAACUACUGAAGUAAGACCAUUAGCAUGCACCAGAUAUGCUGUUUGUCUGUUUGCUAACAUUCCUCAUUCAAGACUUGUUAACUGCCAGACCAGCUUAACACGCUCCCCUCUCACUCUAUCUCCCUCCCUGUCUCUCUUUCCUGCUUUUAAUGCCACCCCUCUCAGCCGUCUGUCGUUGCUGGGUGCUGGUAGCCAAAGGGUAGUGGUGGCAGGGGGAAUGCACGCUGUCGAUGGUCUGGAGCUAGUUGCUAGGUAAGGACCGCCUUCAGCUGUAACAGGCCUGCAAGCACUUGCACAACCAAAGAGACAGUGUACUGAAUCUGUUCUUGUCUGCUUUCCGCAGGAGGCAGCUGAACUGCAAGGUGAAUACUUUCUUUUUUGUCUCUUCGUCCCUGGUUCCAAGGCUGAUCCCACCCUCCAUGUGAGAUCGGCAUUCUUGCCUUAUUACUCAGGGAAAUGAGGACACCAGAAAAAAGAGCAAGAUGAUCAGACUACUUUCUUACCCCACUGAACAGAAGAGCAGAACAGGGAAGUGCGUUUGACGUGCAAAAUAAGGUUAAAAUCAUUGGGACCUAAAGCAAAACCGUUGCUGAUUGGCUGCAGAAAAUACAAAAGAUUAAGUAAUGAGCUUAAGACCUCUAAUAAUAAUAACUACACAAUAAUUGGAAGAGUGACGGGACCUGUGCAACUGAAGAAAGGUGGAUCGGCGCUUACAGGAAUAUGUUUGUGCUGCAGCAUGACAAAUAAUGAAAGAUUCUCAUGACUGAUUAUACAUCUGCUCCAUCAAUAAAAAAACACAGGAAAAGUUUAUAGUAAAUUAUUCAUUAUAAAGAGACCAGUAAGUUUUCUACUAUUAUAUUCUGUUCUUUAAAAAUAUAUUUGUUAACCACAGUUCUUAUAACUCUAAGCUUGUAAGUUGUAACUAUUCAUUUGCUAGGUAAUUCCACAGACUUUUGCUUACAUUCCUGCACUGAAUGAGUUAAUAGAAGCCUAAGGCUGACAGCUAUUUUCUGCUGAACCAGCAUGGUACCUUUCAUGUAAGUGACUAUUUAGUGACCCCUAUUGGCCAAAUGCUGUUACUGUGGCACAUUUUAAGUGAUCUCCAGAUUGUGUUACUAGAGACACUAACCUUAACAUUAAAUCCUUUGAACGAAAUGUUUACCUAAAAAAAAUUGCAGCAUAAUUCCUUUAUUGGUUUAUUUCAUUUAUCUUGCCUGCUUUACUUGUAAUUACCUCAUUCAAAUGCACAUCAGUGAUUUUUAAUUAUGAUUAGAAGCAAUUGGCAGUACACAUGUAUUAGCGAAUCUGUCUCUGUUUAAGUAAACGGGAAGCUCUAUCUUAUUCUGCCUCUCUCUCUCUUUCUGUCUGUCUCUUUCUGUCACUCUAUUCCUCAGGGACUGUUGCCUAGCGGUGUUGUCAGGGAGUUUUCUGGUACGUGGCUUGCCUUUUGCACAGAGUUAUAAUAUUCACACACAAACACAUUGCCUCUAUAGUCUGUGCGUCGCUUCUAUAAGUGUUCAACUCUUUAUAAUUCUUCAGCGUAUUUCCCAGAGGUAAGACGAUACAUACACAAUGUGAGUUGUCUUUUUAUGUGUGUGAUUGUCUGUGUAUAUAUACAUAUGAGUGUGUAUAUCUGUUUGUGUGUGUGUGUGUAUACGUGUGUGUAUAGGCAUGUGUGUGUAUACGUAUAUGUGUGUAUACAUGUGUGUGUGUGUUUGUCUGUGUGUAUAUCCGUGUGUGUGUAUACA